rnacentral:misc_RNA from 1 species
GUAACGGCGAGUGAAGCCGCAACAGCUCAAAUUUGAAAUCUGGCUCCUUCGGGGCCCGAGUUGUAAUUUGCAGAGGAUGCUUCGGGUACGGGUUCCUUCCGAGUUCCCUGGAACGGGACGCCAUAGAGGGUGAGAGCCCCGUCUGGUAGGACACCCAGCCCGUGUGAAGCUCCCUCGACGAGUCGAGUAGUUUGGGAAUGCUGCUCUAACGGGAGGUAUACUCCUUCCAAGGCUAAAUACCGGCUGGAGACCGAUAGCGCACAAGUAGAGUGAUCGAAAGAUGAAAAGCACUUUGAAAAGAGAGUCAAAUAGCACGUGAAAUUGUUGAAAGGGAAGCGCUCGCUACCAGACAUGGGUUCGGCGGUUCAACCGGGGCCACGCCCCGGGGCACUCCGCCGGCCCAGGCCAGCAUCAGCUUUCCGUCGGGGGCAAAGACGUCGGGAAUGUGGCUCCCCUCCGGGGGAGUGUUAUAGCCCGGCGUGUCAUACCCUUCGGGGGGCUGAGGUACGCGCUUCUGCAAGGAUGCUGGCGUAAUGGUAGCUAGUGACCCGUCUUGAAACACGGACCAAGGAGUCAACCUUAUGUGCGAGUGCCCGGGCGUAAAACCCCAGCGCGGAAUGAAAGUGAACGUAGGUGAGAGCUUCGGCGCAUCACCGACCGAUCCUGAUGUCCUCGGACGGAUUUGAGUGAGAGCAUAUAGGGUUGGACCCGAAAGAAGAUGAACUAUGCGUGUGUAGGGUGAAGCCAGAGGAAACUCUGGUGGAGGCUCGCAGCGGUUCUGACGUGCAAAUCG